UGCAAAUCUGGAAUUGUUACUGUGUACUUUCAAUAAUACCACUGUUAUCCUAUCAAUUGCUCUUUCAUUUUUUCAUUUUUUCAAUUUCCCGUCACUUUUUCUCUCUCUCUCAAACCAAAAGAAAAGCAAGUAAAAAUAAUCAGUGUUAUCGUCCAAAUCUUAAUUUCUGGAUUUAGUUCUGAUGAUCCUGAGUUUUCGUUUGUUUGGUAAAAACUUUGGCUUAGUUCUUCUUAUGUGCUUCUUCUUUUCCCGAAUCUUGAUAUUUCCUGUGAGCAUAAGGAAAUAUAUAUGUCUUUUAUGUGAUUGGAAAAGAAGAGAUCAGAGCUAAUGGUUGUGGAACUGGCGGCGAAGAACAAGGUCAGGAUUAUGGGGCUGACGGUGGCAGAGAUCGUGGAUGGUGAUGGUGAUGGUGAUGAGGUCACUUUAUGUAAUGUUUGCCAAAAUCGUGUUCAGACUGAUAAUAUUUUUAAUCUCUGAUUUUUACGUUUGAGUUAAUCUAAAAGUUAACAUAUUAUGCUCAUGACUUAUCCGAACAACCAAUAUAUUAGCCGAUCAUGCAAAGUUUUAUCAUGUGUUGUGAUUUGCUAGAGAGUUAAUUUUAUGCUUAGCCGAACAUGUAAAUUUUUAUCAUGUGUUGUAAUUGAUUAGAGAGUUAAACUUUAUGUUUAGUCGAACACAUCAAUUUGUACAUACAACAAUUCAUACCAUAUACAAGUCGAUUAGUCACUAAUAUAAAUCAUACAUAACUAUA